AUUGAACGCUGGCGGCAGGCCUAACACAUGCAAGUCGAGCGGAGCAGCGGACGGGUGAGUAAGGCCUAGGAAUCGGAAUGGUAGUGGGGGAUAACGACAGGAAACGGGCGCUAAUACCACAUCCUCUCACAUGCGCCUAGGUGGGAUUAGCUAGUUGGUGGGGUAGAGGCCUACCGAGGCGACGAUCCGUAACUGGUCUGAGAGGAUGAUCAGCCACACUGGAACUGAGACACGGUCCAGACUCCUACGGGAGGCAGCAGUGGGGAAUAUUGGACAAUGGGCGAAAGCCUGAUCCAGCCAUGCCGCGUGUGUGAAGAAGGUCUUCGGAUUGUAAAGUACUUUAAGUUGGGAGGCGUUACCAACAGAAUAAGCACCGGCUAACUCCGUGCCAGCAGCCGCGGUAAUAC
rnacentral:rRNA from 1 species